rnacentral:rRNA from 1 species
UACGGAGGAUCCAAGCGUUAUCCGGAUUCAUUGGGUUUAAAGGGUGCGUAGGCGGAAUGAUAAGUCAGUGGUGAAAUCUCUCGGCUUAACCGAGAAACUGCCAUUGAUACUGUCAAUCUUGAGUACAUUUGAUGUGGGCGGAAUGUGUCAUGUAGCGGUGAAAUGCUUAGAUAUGACACAGAACACCGAUUGCGAAGGCAGCUCACAAAACUGUAACCGACGCUGAGGCACGAAAGCGUGGGUACCAAACAGG